GUCAGAUAUUUGAUUCCUUAAUUUUUGACUCCAAAGGGGCAUAAAAUCAAAUGUCCUUGUGAGCACAAAUCAAAUGUUCCUAUAUGAAAUCAGACAUGUCUCUAAUCUCUAUUUGUUAGUGGAUCUGAUUGGGUUGAUAUUUGAGAUGUCUCUGUUUUCAUAUGUGAUGAGUAGAUUUCCUUGUUGUGCUGUGUUCCAAAUUUUAUCCACUAUCCUUCUACGCUAAAUUCACGGGGUUACAAGCUUUAAUUUGCCCAGGAUCCAAGAGUCCUUUGUCCCUCUGCAAGACUUCGAUAAAGUCAAGGUUGGAUGAAUCUCCAAGAACUGUGAGGUUUGCCU